UUGGAUUGAGGGGGUGCUAUUGGGUGUAGCAACUUAGUUAGCUAGACUGUUCGCCUAUUGAAUCCUCACAUGAUCUGAGUUAAAGUCGGCGUAAGCCAGACUGGAUUUUAUCUAGGGUUAUAAUUUCUGGCUUUUCAGUACGAAAGGACCUUUAGCUGUUCAUACUAUUGGAGUUAAUUUUAAUU
rnacentral:rRNA from 1 species